rnacentral:rRNA from 1 species
CUGGCGGCGUGCCUAAUACAUGCAAGUAGAACGCUGACUACUUUAGCUUGUAGAGUAGAAGGAGUUGCGAACGGGUGAGUAACGCGUAGGUAACCUGCCUACUAGCGGGGGAUAACUAUUGGAAACGAUAGCUAAUACCGCAUAACAGUGUUUAACACAUGUUAGAUGCUUGAAAGAUGCAAAUGCAUCACUAGUAGAUGGACUGCGUUGUAUUAGCUAGUUGGUGGGGUAACGGCCUACCAAGGCGACGAUACAUAGCCGACCUGAGAGGGUGAUCGGCCACACUGGGACCUGAGACACGGCCCAGACUCCUACGGGAGGCAGCAGUAGGGAAUCUUCGGCAAUGGGGGCAACCCUGACCGAGCAACGCCGCGUGAGUGAAGAAGGUUUUCGGAUCGUAAAGCUCUGUUGUAAGAGAAGAAGGUGUGUGAGAGUGGAAAGUUCACACAGUGACGGUAACUUACCAGAAAGGGACGGCUAACUACGUGCCAGCAGCCGCGGUAAUACGUAGGUCCCGAGCGUUGUCCGGAUUUAUUGGGCGUAAAGCGAGCGCAGGCGGUUUAAUAAGUCUGAGUUAAAGGCAGUGGCUUCACCAUUGUUCGCUUUGGAAACUGUUAAACUUGAGUGCAGAAGGGAGAGUGGAAUUCCAUGUGUAGCGGUGAAAUGCGUAGAUAUAUGGAGGAACACCGGUGGCGAAAGCGGCUCUCUGGUCUGUAACUGACGCUGAGGCUCSAAAGCGUGGGGAGCAAACAGGAUUAGAUACCCUGGUAGUCCACGCCGCAAACGAUGAGUGCUAGGUGUUAGGCCCUUUCCGGGGGCUUAGUGCCGCAGCUAACGCAUUAAGCACUCCGCCUGGGGAGUACGACCGCAAGGUUGAAACUCAAAGGAAUUGACGGGGGCCCGCACAAUCGGUGGAGCAUGUGGUUUAAUUCGAAGCAACGCGAASAACCUUACCAGGUCUUGACAUCCCGAUGCUAUUUCUAGAGAUAGAAAGUAUUCUUCGGAACAUCGGUGACAGGUGGUGCAUGGUUGUCGUCAGCUCGUGUCGUGAGAUGUUGGGUUAAGUCCCGCAACGAGCGCAACCCCUAUUGUUAGUUGCCAUCAUUCAGUUGGGCACUCUAGCGAGACUGCCGGUAAUAAACCGGAGGACAGGUGGGGAUGACGUCAAAUCAUCAUGCCCCUUAUGACCUGGGCUACACACGUGCUACAAUGGUUGGUACAACGAGUCGCAAGUCGGUGACGGCAAGCAAACUCUUAAAGCCAAUCUCAGUUCGGAUUGUAGGCUGCAACUCGCCUACAUGAAGUCGGAAUCGCUAGUAAUCGCGGAUCAGCACGCCGCGGUGAAUACGUUCCCGGGCCUUGUACACACCGCCCGUCACACCACGAGAGUUUGUAACACCCGAAGUCGGUGAGGUAACCUUUUAGGAGCCAGCCGCCUAAGGUGGGAUAGAUGAUUGGGGUGAAGUCUUAACAAGG